GCCCCCGUCGGGUUUGCCGUGGCUGGAGGGAGCCGGGCGCGCGCUGUCGCAACCUGUCCUCCUCCCAGGCGGCGACGGAAGGACCGGCCCGGCAUCGAGACCAGCCUCCCCGUCCCGGCAGCUGCGGCGAGGGCUCCGCGGGGCGCAGGCGGGCUCAGGGCGGCUGAAGGUUACCGAGUGCAUGAGCACCUAGUCUCCCGCGCUGCCCCGCCCGCCGGUCCGCCGGCCCUCCCGCCGGCUCGCCCGCCAGCCCUUCGCCACCCGGCGGCGGCCGCAGCUUCGGCCGCAGGAGGCGCCGUCUCGCUCCCAGGUGCGCGCUUCGUUCCCGGAGCCGCGGAGCUCGGCGGCCGCCAUGGCGUCCAACAUGGACCGGGAGAUGAUCCUUGCGGAUUUUCAGGCAUGUACUGGUAUUGAAAACAUCGAUGAAGCUAUUACACUGCUUGAGCAAAAUAACUGGGACUUGGUGGCAGCUAUUAAUGGUGUAAUACCACAGGAAAAUGGCAUUCUACAAAGUGACUUUGGAGGUGAGACCAUGCCAGGACCCACAUUUGAUCCAGCAAGUCACCCUGCUCCAGCUUCAACUCCCUCUUCUUCAGCGUUUCGACCUGUAAUGCCAUCCAGGCAGAUUGUAGAAAGGCAGCCUCGAAUGCUAGACUUCAGAGUUGAAUACAGAGACAGAAAUGUUGAUGUGGUACUUGAAGACAGCUGUACUGUUGGAGAGAUCAAACAGAUUCUAGAAAAUGAGCUUCAGAUACCUGUGCCUAAAAUGCUGUUAAAAGGCUGGAAGACUGGAGACGUGGAAGACAGUACGGUCUUAAAAUCACUACACUUGCCAAAAAACAACAGUCUUUAUGUCCUUACACCAGACUUGCCACCGCCUUCAUCAUCCAGCCAUGCUGGGUAAGUGCCCUGCAGGAAUCAUUAAAUCAAAACUUCAUGCUGAUCAUCACCCACCGAGAGGUCCAGCGGGAGUACAACCUGAACUUCUCAGGAAGCAGUACCGUUCAAGAGGUAAAGAGAAAUGUGUAUGACCUUACAAGCAUACCUGUUCGACAUCAGUUAUGGGAGGGCUGGCCAGCUUCUGCCACCGAUGACUCAAUGUGUCUUGCUGAAUCAGGCCUCUCUUAUCCCUGCCAUCGAUUAACUGUGGGAAGAAGAACUUCACCUGUACAGACCCGUGAGCAAUCAGAAGAGCAAAGCACGGAUGUUCAUAUGGUUAGUGAUAGUGAUGGCGAUGACUUUGAAGAUGCUUCAGAAUUUGGAGUGGAUGACGGAGAAGUAUUUGGCAUGGCAUCAUCUACCCUGAGAAAAUCUCCAAUGAUGCCAGAAAACGCAGAAAAUGAAGGAGAUGCCUUAUUACAAUUUACAGCAGAGUUUUCUUCAAGAUAUGGUGACUGCCAUCCUGUAUUUUUUAUUGGCUCAUUAGAAGCUGCUUUCCAAGAGGCCUUCUAUGUGAAAGCCCGAGACAGAAAACUUCUUGCUAUCUACCUCCACCAUGAUGAAAGUGUACUAACCAACGUGUUCUGCUCACAAAUGCUUUGUGCUGAAUCCAUUGUUUCCUAUCUGAGUCAAAAUUUUAUAACCUGGGCUUGGGAUCUGACAAAGGACACCAACAGAGCAAGAUUUCUGACAAUGUGCAAUAGACACUUUGGCAGCGUUAUUGCACAAACUAUUCGGACUCAAAAGACAGAUCAGUUUCCACUUUUCCUGAUUAUCAUGGGAAAGCGAUCAUCUAAUGAAGUGUUAAAUGUGAUACAAGGUAAUACAACAGUGGAUGAGUUAAUGAUGAGACUCAUGGCUGCAAUGGAGAUUUUCUCAGCUCAACAACAGGAAGACAUUAAGGAUGAGGAUGAACGUGAAGCCAGAGAAAAUGUGAAGAGAGAGCAAGAUGAGGCCUAUCGCCUUUCCCUCGAAGCCGACAGGGCAAAGAGAGAAGCUCAUGAGAGAGAGAUGGCAGAACAGUUUCGUUUGGAGCAGAUUCGCAAAGAACAAGAAGAAGAACGUGAGGCCAUCAGACUCUCCUUAGAACAAGCCCUUCCUCCAGAGCCGAAGGAAGAAAAUGCUGAGCCUGUUAGCAAGCUUCGGAUUCGAACCCCCAGUGGCGAGUUCCUGGAACGGCGUUUCCUGGCCAGCAAUAAGCUCCAGAUUGUCUUUGAUUUCGUGGCUUCCAAGGGAUUUCCAUGGGAUGAAUUCAAGUUACUGAGCACCUUUCCUAGGAGAGAUGUAACUCAGCUAGACCCCAAUAAGUCAUUAUUGGAGGUAAACUUGUUCCCUCAAGAAACCCUUUUCCUUCAAGCAAAAGAGUAAACAUGACUGAGAGGUGGAAGCAGCCACUCCUGACGAGCCAGCGGCACGUGUCAAGAGAUGGGCUCCUCACCAACCCACCUACCUGCUCGUGUCACUCAGUUCAAUGUCACACUUCUGCCUCUUGCAAGAUUGCUGGAAAAAAGUAAUAAACAUAGCUACUUAAAAUUUCCCAUCCAUGAGUAUAUGUUCCCCGCUCCUCAUGACGGAGUGCCACAACCCCAUUGCCCUCUCCUGAUGCCUGACUAGUGUUCUGUUGUGUGUGAGUGGCCCCAGGGGAACUUAACCUCUGUGCUACCCAUCUUUCCCUCAUUGUCCAAGACAGUUCUCUCUGUCCUAGACAUCAGGAUGCUGUGUAUCUGAUAUGUCUCAUUGAGCCAGGGCUCAUACCCUCUGCCUUUACCUUUCUAUAACUGCAGUUUAAGUUUAUCACCUAAUUUUAAAAGGCAAAGUGAAAAAAAGUCAAAUGGGACAUUUUGGGUCUGAACAUCAGACAUUUUGGGGUAGAGGGUAGAGGAGUGUAUCAUACAUCUGACUCCUUUACUAAGAUGUAAGAUUUUUGUUAGUAGACUGAUUUGAUAUGUAUGCAAGGUAUUUAUAUACUUCUGUCAUGCGCUGCAUAUUCCAUCUUGGAGGGGUUUGUUUGUUUGUUUGUUUGUUUGUUUGUUUCAUUGCAGCUUGGGAAACUAUUCAAGUACACAGUGUGUUGAGAUCACGAAGAGAAUGCUGGUACCAUUGUAGGCCAGCUGUGGCAAGCUGCUCUUCAACUUUUUGAGGCACUAGGAACUUCCUAGAUACCUGCUCCCACACUGCUAGUGUCUCUGUGGACACGACACACAGUUUUCCUGCCCUUUCUUCCUCAACAGCUUUAUACAUCUGGACCUAGUCAUGUGGUGGGGUGUCUGUUUGUUUGUUUGUUUGUUUUUGUUUUCACUUUAGGCUUUGGAGACCAGAGCUCAUUAUGUAGCUCAGGGGUGUGGCCUCAAACCUUCAGUAAUCUGCUUUACUCUCCAAGUGCCAAGAUUUCAGGCAUGCCCCACGAUACCUGGCCAGUGUCUGGUGUUUUAAACACCUUGUCCGUUGCCAAAAUCUAAUCAGCUGUCCCUUGGGCUUUCCUGCAUUAAGGGACUUGCUCUAUGAUUUUAUUUCUGAAUAUUUUAAUAUUAGAUAUUGAAUUUAUAUCCCAAAUAAAAGGAAUCUCAUUCUUUGGCUAAAAAUUCAGACUUCAUAUAUUUAAGAGAGCAAAUGUGGGGGCUUAGCCUAUAAUACAUGUGUUGCCAGAAUUGAUACAUAGUAAUCUUGGGUUUGAUUUAGUAGAAGUGCAUUUUGUUAAUCUGUGGGUUUAAGGUUUAAGGUAGUUCAUGAGAAUAUAAUUUAUAUCUUCACAGCCUAUUUUAGUCCUGAAAUGUUCUUUAUGGUGUUUUUGUGUCAUCUCCAGUCUUUAUCCUAAGAGCUGACCUACCAGUCUGGUUAUUUUGUAAGUGUGUUAGGUGUGUUUCCCUGGGACCAUCUUGGGGCUCUAAGAAGACUUACCCAAAGCUGGAGGUGUGUCUGGUCACUUUUUCCUCUACUCAGAAAGUAUUGCCCAAGAAAGUUCACCUGUUUUCCUCUGAUGCUCAGCCAUGAACAUCCCCUGAAAACUUCUCUAAGAGAUUGUUCCCAAUACCACUGCGCUUUAUCUGCCAACUGACUGAAAAGGGAGCUCACUGUGAGGGGAGUUUCUCCUAAGCAAUUCCUCUCCAGCGCUGUUCCUUCCUUCCCAAUGAGUGGCACCACAAGAUGUCAUUUCUGAAGCUGCAGCUGUACUAGGGCACCAGCUCUUCUUUUUCCAGCCAGACUUUGUUCUAUAGCUGCUGUGAGAAGCCACAGUCCUGAACUUAAACCACAGUCAAAAACAGCAGCCAGGGUGUGGGCAGAGGCUUGAGAGAGCUCUCCGAGUUCUCAUGUCUAACCUGUCCCUCUGAGUGGAAUUUGGCUUCACUACAGGGUUUCCUACCAUUCCUGUUUACUUCUGUAUACCAACAUAUAACCUUUACUCUGAAACCAAUUUCAUAACAGUUAUUAAAUGUUAUUUGAAUGUG